rnacentral:lncRNA from 1 species
AGAGAAUGUCCGUUUCUCGGAGCGCAGCACAGCCUGUCCCAUCGAGAAGCCUCGGCUUCCCAGAGACCGUGACAAAAGACAUCAUUCUACGCUGCACAAAAGCAGCCAGAGGCGGCCUCUCCCACGCUCCGGGAGCGAAGGGAAUGAUCUGGCUAGAGAGCAGCACUCCAGGGUGACUCCGUCCUGCUGUCUAACCGGCCUCCGGCAGAGUGGCAGAUCAUCUGACUCUCUGAACCACUCUGAACAUCAGUCUCUUCAUCUCUAAAUGAGGGUGCUGGCCGUGUGGAUCCGCAGGGGUAUCCUGAGGUUUGCCACGUACAAAAAGCUUAGGACAGUAAAUACUAAUAGGCUGGUGCAAAAU